rnacentral:rRNA from 1 species
CGAACGGUAAGGCCCUUUCGGGGGUACACGAGUGGCGAACGGGUGAGUAACACGUGGGUAAUCUGCCCUGCACUUCGGGAUAAGCCUGGGAAACCGGGUCUAAUACCGGAUAUGAGCUCCUGCCGCAUGGUGGGGGUUGGAAAGUUUUUCGGUGCAGGAUGAGUCCGCGGCCUAUCAGCUUGUUGGUGGGGUAAUGGCCUACCAAGGCGACGACGGGUAGCCGGCCUGAGAGGGUGAUCGGCCACACUGGGACUGAGACACGGCCCAGACUCCUACGGGAGGCAGCAGUGGGGAAUAUUGCACAAUGGGCGAAAGCCUGAUGCAGCGACGCCGCGUGGGGGAUGACGGUCUUCGGAUUGUAAACUCCUUUCAGUAGGGACGAAGCGAAAGUGACGGUACCUGCAGAAGAAGCACCGGCCAACUACGUGCCAGCAGCCGCGGUAAUACGUAGGGUGCAAGCGUUGUCCGGAAUUACUGGGCGUAAAGAGCUCGUAGGCGGUUUGUCACGUCGUCUGUGAAAUCCUCCAGCUCAACUGGGGGCGUGCAGGCGAUACGGGCAGACUUGAGUACUACAGGGGAGACUGGAAUUCCUGGUGUAGCGGUGAAAUGCGCAGAUAUCAGGAGGAACACCGGUGGCGAAGGCGGGUCUCUGGGUAGUAACUGACGCUGAGGAGCGAAAGCAUGGGGAGCAAACAGGAUUAGAUACCCUGGUAGUCCAUGCC